rnacentral:rRNA from 2 species
AGAGUUUGAUCCUGGCUCAGGAUGAACGCUGGCGGCGUGCCUAACACAUGCAAGUCGAGCGAUCUCUUCGGAGAGAGCGGCGGACGGGUGAGUAACGCGUGGGUAACCUGCCCUGUACACACGGAUAACAUACCGAAAGGUAUACUAAUACGGGAUAACAUAUGAAAGUCGCAUGGCUUUUGUAUCAAAGCUCCGGCGGUACAGGAUGGACCCGCGUCUGAUUAGCUAGUUGGUAAGGUAAUGGCUUACCAAGGCAACGAUCAGUAGCCGACCUGAGAGGGUGAUCGGCCACACUGGAACUGAGACACGGUCCAGACUCCUACGGGAGGCAGCAGUGGGGAAUAUUGCACAAUGGGCGAAAGCCUGAUGCAGCAACGCCGCGUGAGCGAUGAAGGCCUUCGGGUCGUAAAGCUCUGUCCUCAAGGAAGAUAAUGACGGUACUUGAGGAGGAAGCCCCGGCUAACUACGUGCCAGCAGCCGCGGUAAUACGUAGGGGGCUAGCGUUAUCCGGAAUUACUGGGCGUAAAAGGGUGCGUAGGUGGUUUUUUAAGUCAGAAGUGAAAGGCUACGGCUCAACCGUAGUAAGCUUUUGAAACUAGAGAACUUGAGUGCAGGAGAGGAGAGUAGAAUUCCUAGUGUAGCGGUGAAAAUGCGUAGAUAUUUAGGGAGGAAUACCAGUAGCGAAGGCGGCUCUCUGGACUGUAACUGACACUGAGGCACGAAAGCGUGGGGGGAGCAAACAGGGAUUAGAUACCCUGGUAGUCCCACGCCGUAAAACGAUGAGUACUAGGGUGUCGGGGGGUUACCCCCCUCGGUGCCGCAGCUAACGCAUUAAGUACUCCGCCUGGGAAGUACGCUCGCAAGAGUGAAACUCAAAGGAAUUGACGGGGACCCGCACAAGUAGCGGAGCAUGUGGUUUAAUUCGAAGCAACGCGAAGAACCUUACCUAAGCUUGACAUCCCACUGACCUCUCCCUAAUCGGAGAUUUCCCUUCGGGGACAGUGGUGACAGGUGGUGCAUGGUUGUCGUCAGCUCGUGUCGUGAGAUGUUGGGUUAAGUCCCGCAACGAGCGCAACCCUUGCCUUUAGUUGCCAGCAUUAAGUUGGGCACUCUAGAGGGACUGCCGAGGAUACUCGGAGGAAGGUGGGGAUGACGUCAAAUCAUCAUGCCCCUUAUGCUUAGGGCUACACACGUGCUACAAUGGGUGGGUACAGAGGGUUGCCAAGCCGCGAGGUGGAGCUAAUCCCUUAAAGCCAUUCUCAGUUCGGAUUGUAGGCUGAAACUCGCCUACAUGAAGCUGGAGUUACUAGUAAUCGCAGAUCAGAAUGCUGCGGUAGAAUGCGUUCCCGGGUCUUGUACACACCGCCCGUCACACCAUGGAAGUUGGGGGCGCCCGAAGCCGGUUAGCUAACCUUUUAGGAAGCGGCCGUCGAAGGUGAAACCAAUGACUGGGGUGAAGUCGUAACAAGGUAACC